GAUCUCCGGUUGCCCAGAUAAUAUCUAUUUGGUAACUACACUUCCACAAGGCGACACUGUCUUCUGGACACCACCGAAUGCAACAGACGCUACUUCUGUUGACACACACUCAACACACGUGCCGGGGCAACUUUUUCCAGUCGCAUCAACUCAAGUCACAUACACUUUCACCGAUUAUGUACAUGGGCUUUCCUCAACAUGCGUGUUUACUGUCACUGUCACAUUGGAUUCACAGGAUCCGUGUCACUGUCAGAAUGGUGGGACUUGUUUUGGGCAGUCUAACUGCAUUUGUCCUUCCGGCUUUGGUGGAAUUACAUGUGAAACACCUCAUUGUAAAUGUCACAUCGACUCAAGUGGUAUACCAAACGCCUGUGAUGUUGCAGCAGGAUGCGACGUUGGAGACAUCUUAGA